ensembl:lncRNA
AAGGGACAGACAGAGAAUUGCAACUAGAAAUUCGAUCGAUUGGUACGAGGGACCACGUGGUCCAGGGUUGGCCAAUGACCAGGACGCCCGGGAUGAGCUAAUAAUGGAAGCAAUUUGUAACUUUCAGUAGCUCUCUAGGCCUGGGUACAGGAGGGAGGGAGAUGCGCGGAGGUGGGGAGGUGGGUACCCCCAGUCCUUCUACUCUCCUCUUUCGUACAGGGGCACCCGGAUUCCCUCUUUCUCUUUUGACCUAACACGCACGCAGACACUCACUGUGUCCCGCGCCCACCUCGGUCUAGCGGCCACUGCUCCAGAAAAAGUUGAAUGAGAGCCUCCCAUCUGGACACCCCAUUUCCCAGCUGCCCUGGCUUCCAGAUGUGGCCACAGGGGAAUGAGAGCCAAGUAAUGUCUUGAGAGCCUGAAGACAUUGGGUAAGCUCCUCUUUCCAUGAGCUGGACCAAGUUCACCUGAGACAGCGCUUUAACAACGCAGCCAGCAGAGGAGGAAUCCCUGGGAGAGAGCUGAGCAAUGAUACGGAAGGAAGCCACGUCUCUGAUUGACAAGGUGGAGCAGAGCAGCCCACGGUCAGGAACUACUCCAUCUUGACUGUUACAUGAGAAAUAAACUUGGUUUCUG